rnacentral:rRNA from 1 species
UACGUAGGGCGCAAGCGUUGUCCGGAAUUAUUGGGCGUAAAGAGCUCGUAGGCGGCCUGUUACGUCUGCUGUGAAAUCCCGGGGGCUCAACCCCGGGAACUGCCUUCGAUACUGGGUAUCUUGAGUUCGGAAGAGGUGAGUGGAAUUGCGAGUGUAGAGGUGAAAUUCGUUAGAUAUUCGCAGGAAACACCAGUGGCGAAAGGCGGCUCACUGGUCCGAUACUGACGCUGAGGUGCGAAAGCGUGGG